rnacentral:rRNA from 1 species
GACAGAGGGUGCAAACGUUGUUCGGAAUUACUGGGCGUAAAGAGCGUGUAGGCGGCCUGGUAGGUCAGCUGUGAAAACUCGAGGCUCAACCUCGAGACGUCGGUUGAAACCACCUGGCUAGAGUCCGGAAGAGGAGAGUGGAAUUCCCGGUGUAGCGGUGAAAUGCGCAGAUAUCGGGAAGAACACCCGUGGCGAAGGCGGCUCUCUGGGACGGUACUGACGCUGAGACGCGAAAGCUAGGGGAGCAAACAGG